rnacentral:rRNA from 1 species
CAGUCGCCGCGGUAAUACGUAGGUGGCAAGCGUUGUCCGGAAUUAUUGGGCGUAAAGGGCUCGCAGGCGGUUUCUUAAGUCUGAUGUGAAAGCCCCCGGCUCAACCGGGGAGGGUCAUUGGAAACUGGGAAACUUGAGUGCAGAAGAGGAGAGUGGAAUUCCACGUGUAGCGGUGAAAUGCGUAGAGAUGUGGAGGAACACCAGUGGCGAAGGCGACUCUCUGGUCUGUAACUGACGCUGAUGCACAAAAGCUAGGGGAGCAAACAGGAUUAGAUACCCGCGUAGUCCCUGUCUCUUAUAC